rnacentral:rRNA from 1 species
UACGUAGGGUGCAAGCGUUAAUCGGAAUUACUGGGCGUAAAGCGUGCGCAGGCGGCUUUGCAAGUCAGAUGUGAAAUCCCCGGGCUUAACCUGGGAACUGCGUUUGAGACUGCAUGGCUGGAGUGCGGCAGAGGGGGAUGGAAUUCCGCGUGUAGCAGUGAAAUGCGUAGAUAUGCGGAGGAACACCGAUGGCGAAGGCAAUCCCCUGGGCCUGCACUGACGCUCAUGCACGAAAGCGUGGGGAGCAAACAGG